rnacentral:rRNA from 1 species
GGUUAACGCUGGCGGUAUGUCUAAUACAUGCAAGUCGAACGCAACUUCGGUUGAGUGGCGGACGAGCGAGUAACACGUUGGAACCUACCUCAAACUCAGGGAUAACAUCUAGAAAUAGGUGCUAAUACCGGAUAGUCCCGUAAGGGUAAAGAUUUAUCGGUUUGAGAGGGUCCUGCGCAAUAUCAGCUAGUUGGUAAGAUAACGGCUUACCAAGGCUAUGACGUUUAACUGGUCUGAGAGGAUGAUCAGUCGCGAUGGGACUGAGACACGGCCCAUACUCCUACGGGAGGCAGCAGUAAGGAAUCUUCCGCAAUGGACGAAAGUCUGACGGAGCAAUACCGCGUGGUUGAUGAAGCCCCUUGGGGUGUAAAGACCUUUUCUGAGUGAAGAAUUUUGACGGUAACUUAGGAAUAAGCACCGGCUAACUCCGUGCCAGCAGCCGCGGUAAUACGGAGGGUGCAAGCGUUACCCGGAAUCAUUGGGCGUAAAGCGUCCGCAGGCGGUAUGUUAAGUAAGAUGUUAAAUUUUGCAGCUCAACUGUAAAACCAUAUCUUAAACUGGCAAACUAGAGUAUUGGAGAGGUGCGUAGAAUUCUGUGUGUAGGGGUUAAAUCCGUAGAUACACAGAGGAAUACCAAAAGCGAAGGCAGCGCACUGGCCAAUUACUGACGCUCAGGGACGAAAGCGUGGGUAGCGAACGGGAUUAGAUACCCCGGUAGUCCACGCCGUAAACGAUGGAUACUAGGUGUAGGGGGACUCGACCCUCUCUGUGCCGACGCUAACGCAUUAAGUAUCCCGCCUGGGAGUACGGUCGCAAGAUUAAAACUCAAAGGAAUAGACGGGGACCCACACAAGCGGUGGAGCAUGUGGUUUAAUUCGAUAAUAAGCGAGGAACCUUACCCAGACUUGACAUCCCGAGAAUUUUCUAGAAAUAGAAAAGUGCCGCAAGGAACUCGGUGACAGGUGCUGCAUGGUUGUCGUCAGCUCGUGCCUUGAGGUGUUCGGUUAAGUCCGUUAACGAGCGCAACCCUUGUCCUGUGUUGUAUAUUUCACAGGAGACUGCCGAUUUCAAAUCGGAGGAAGGUAAGGAUGACGUCAAAUCAGCAUGGCCCUUAUGUCUGGGGCUACACACGUGCUACAAUGGCUGGUACAGAGGGCAGCAAAACCGUAAGGUGGAGCCAAUCCUUAAAACCAGUCUCAGUUCGGAUUGAGGGCUGCAACUCGCCCUCAUGAAGUUGGAAUCGCUAGUAAACGCGUAUCAGCAAUGACGCGUUGAAUAUGUUCCCGGGUCUUGUACUCACCGCCCGUCACAUCACGAAAGGUGGGGGCACCCGAAGUACCGUUAACUUUCGAGUGCGGUCCUAAGGUGAAACCACUGAUUGGAUG